AGUUGCCUGAGGACAGCAGUGCAGUUGACAUGGAUAUUCUCUUUCCUCUGGACGGUGUUAUUGAGACAGAGCUGUGCUCCAGCCCCGUUCCCCAGAUCAUCCAUUUCAUCCUCUUCAUUGUGUUUAGCCUGGUGAUCCUGAUCAUCUUACGCCCCUACAUUCCCAGGGAGCCGUCCUCAGUGCCUCCCAGAGAGGAGAAUAGCGAGAAUGAUCAAGCUGAAGUGGGGGAAUGGCUCAGCAUCGGAAAUAAAUCUAUCACUUUGAAAGAUUACAGAAUUCUCUUGAAAGAACUGGAGAACCUUGAGGUCUACACUUUCCUGUCGAAAAAGUGCCUGAAGAAGCUCUCUAGGGCAGGCAGCUCCCAACACCUUCCACACCAAGUCCGCCCAGGGCCAGUGUACAAACGAGCAUCUGCUAGGAAGCACCGGCCACGUGGGGUGCGUGGGAAAGCUUCUCCCACCAGCUUCCAUGUGUCCCCACGGGCUCCCCCGGCUCCUCUGGCCUCCAUGCCGACAUCAGUCCCGAAGACCUCCGUAGAGUCCUUGGGGUAUCUGUCAUCCCUGAGCUCCUCCCAGGCAUCAGAGGCUUUGCGUCCCCUGAAGCACCCUUCACACCGGCCACCUGUGAGCACCCUAUCACCAAACCUGACCACCUCCGCAGAAUCCUUGGAGUAUCUGUCAUCCCUGAGCUCCUCCCAGCCACCAGAGCCUUUGCGUCCCCUGAAGCACCCUUCACACAAGCCACGUGGGCGUUCCCCUCCCCCACGACGGAAUCCUGGCUGGGUGUCCUGGACCGACUCCACACAGGCUGAUUCCGAAACUGACACCAUAAUAUGCCCAAUGUGCAAGGCCCCUGAGCACUCCUGUCUACACACCUGGUGGGUGCCUUCUAGCCCUCGAGUGAUCCGAGGCGUUGGUUGCCGCAGUGAUCCCGACCUGGUCCUCUCCUGGAGGCAGGAGGCUGCUAGAGCCUGGUGCCACUGCGCCUCCUCACAGUUCCCAUUCGAGCACCCUAAUCUUCCCACCCACCUACCAGAGGCUUCCUUCUAGGGAGACCCCACAUGCAGGCAGGUGGAGGCAGGGGUCCCACUUUCCUCAGCUUGGACGUCCCAACGCUGCUGGACGCACAAGACACCAAAAUCCCAGACACUCCCAUGGACUCCGCACAUCCGACAUCCACGAACAAUUGGGAAUCUCCUGAGGACAACUUGGAGAUGGAGUCUCACUCUGUUGCUCAGGCUGGAGUACAGUGGCACCAUCUUAGCUCACCACAACCUCCGCCUCCCGGAUUCAAGCCAUUCUCCUGCCUCAGCCUCCCGAGUAGCUGGGAUUACAGGCGCAUGCCACCGCACCCAGCUAAUUUUUGUAAUUUUAGUCGAGAGAGGGUGUCACCAUGUUGGCCAGGCUUGUCUUGAACUCCUGACCUUGAGAUAUCUGCCCGCCUUGGCCUCUCAAAGUGCUGGGAUUAUAGGCUUGAGCCACCACGCAUGGAUGAAUCACAAAUUGUAAACCUGAAUAAAAUGCUGCAACCUCCAAUGAGAGGAAAA
rnacentral:sRNA from 1 species